rnacentral:lncRNA from 1 species
ACCGGCACGGUAUACUAUUAAGACCGGUCGUGCAAUAGAACCGGAGUAAAAUUGUCAAAACCGGGCGAUUUUGAUGAAAACCGGCUAACCGGUCAAUUAUUUCUCAACCGGCCGAUUCACUGUUAUUAAGAGAAGGCAAAUGAAGAACAUGUUAUACCAUUUAUUCUGAAAUCCCUAAGUCUAAGACUCUAAGAGGAUAUGAAAUCCCUAACCUUCCACUCCAUAGUUGUGUUCCACUUUCCUAAAAGAAAAGAUAUUUAUGUUUAUUCUCCAUCUUCAUCCAAUUCAUAGUUGGAAAACCGUGAACGAAAAAAGAAGGUGUUGACAUGCCAUGUAUCUUUU